rnacentral:ncRNA from 2 species
GCCGGCCACUCCUCCCGCGGGAUCGCCUUCCAGUGGCCCGUGGCUGCCGGUGCUGAGCUCUGCCGCUGCAGGGCCGGCCGCUUGGGUCUUGCCUGGGGCUCCGGGCAGGAGGCCUGC